GAACGCUGGCGGCGUGCUUAACACAUGCAAGUCGAACGGAAAGGCCCUGCUUUUGUGGGGUGCUCGAGUGGCGAACGGGUGAGUAACACGUGAGUAACCUGCCCUUGACUUUGGGAUAACUUCAGGAAACUGGGGCUAAUACCGGAUAGGAGCUCCUGCUGCAUGGUGGGGGUUGGAAAGUUUCGGCGGUUGGGGAUGGACUCGCGGCUUAUCAGCUUGUUGGUGGGGUAGUGGCUUACCAAGGCUUUGACGGGUAGCCGGCCUGAGAGGGUGACCGGCCACAUUGGGACUGAGAUACGGCC
rnacentral:rRNA from 1 species